AUACGGAGGGUGCUAGCGUUGUUCGGAAUUACUGGGCGUAAAGAGCAUGUAGGCGGAUAGAUUAGUCAGAGGUGAAAGCCCCGAGCUCAACUCGGGAACUGCCUUUGAUACUGUUUAUCUAGAGACCGAGAGAGGUGAGUGGAAUUCUCAGUGUAGAGGUGAAAUUCGUAGAUAUUGGGAAGAACACCAGUGGCGAAGGCGGCUCACUGGCUCGGAACUGACGCUGAGAUGCGAAAGCGUGGGGAGCGAACAGGAUUAGAAACCCUAGUAGUCC
rnacentral:rRNA from 1 species